rfam:Triticum aestivum genome assembly, contig: Triticum_aestivum_CS42_TGACv1_scaffold_327908_4BS
UUUGUAUUCCCUCGCGUCCGGAAUUACUUGUCAUCAAAAUGAAUGAAAAUAGAUGUAUCUAGAACUAAAAUACAUCUAGAUACAUCCAUUUUAAUGACAAGUAUUUUCGGACGGAGAAGUUGGCUA